rnacentral:tRNA from 1 species
UCUCUGGAGGACUAGUGGUUAGGCCACGGCGCUCUCACCUCUGUGGCCUGGGUUCCAUUCCCGGCCAGGGAA